rnacentral:misc_RNA from 1 species
AAUAUGGGUCUUGUUACCUGCAACACAUGGUCGCCAUUUGUCGGGACUGUGAUAAAAAGGGAUAAUUUAGUUGAAUAAACGCUUACUAAGAUGGUGAUUUGGAUUAUCUUGUAGGAAUGGCUCAAAACCGUUAUGUUCCUAAAAUUCCCAUCCAUUGUAUCCCAUACAAAGCUCGUUAUGAACUUGCUGAGGUGUUUGAUUCUCCGUCUGUGGAUGGGCGGCGGACACUGGAAGGUCUUGCUGAUGCCAUCUUUGAACACAGCGGCUACAGAGUACCAUUCGACCACAACACAAUAGCGGCAAUCAGGUCUCGUUGUAAUUCUGGAGAGAGUCCAACAGUUAGGUUUAUCUAUGAUCUGACAAAAGUUCGCAACAUGCAUGUAAUUGCAACGACUGCUCCGUCUCUUACAAUAGGUCAGAACGGUUAAAUCGGGUACCUUCGGGGGUCACCAGACACCCUAAAAAACAAUACCAUAAACAUCGCUGUGACCAAUCAGGAUGUGUCCACAAUCACGAAACUACACCAGGAGGCCGACAACAACCACCGUACCGUAACAACAUAAGUCAGGAUGGUUUCUUACCCAAUAAUGUGGAGGUCGCUAUGAGUCGUUCUUUGAAUAUCUCUGAUCACAGUGACAUUCAGAAUAACAUAGCAUCACCGCAUGCAGACGACUAUAUGUCAGAGAGCCAUAGCAUGCAUUUGUUUGGUAAUGGUCUUGGCCUGUUUCCUCCUGACGAUUUCAACCCCUGUCCUCCAAGUGACUGUGGAGAGGACGACGAAGAUGAUGAAACCUGGACCAAAACCACAUCCAUGGUUGCCAGCCAGAGUGAAGGGCUACUCAGACCAAGACGAGGUGCGCAUCCAAGGCGAAUCAGAUCGGAGCCGAUAUACGAGGGUUCAAAUGCUGAAAAUACCGACAACACACGGAGACAUUCGCAUCCCAUCUACCAACGACAAAAUGAAAAUGGCCCGAGAAAGAGGGACUGUGAGAGUGACGGGGAUAUUCCUAACAUUCCGGACGCAUGCACAUGCUACAGGAGUCCAGUUAUAAACAUAGGACCCAGGACGGUGUUUGUCUCACUAGCUGAUGAUUCUAAAUAUCAUAUCAAGGAGGUGCUCACCAUGUGUAACAAGCUCAAAGAAUACGGCUUCGAGGUCAAAUGUGAUAUGAUGGAAUCCUUGUUUUUAGAACAGAAUAUUAACGUGAACGAAUGGCUGGACCAGUGCUUCACAAGAGCAGCUUUUGUGAUUUUCUGCAUAUCCCCCAAAUAUUACCAAAAUAUCGGGGCAGACAAUCCUCUGGAAGCUCAUCCAAACGAUAAUAGAUUUCACACGAGAUACAUUUUCGACCGUGCUCGAACCGAAUUUAUCCAAAAUAAUAGCAUCAACAGACGAUUUUUACCAGUAUUAUUUCGAAACUCAAAUGCAAGAAACAGCCAUAUUCCCGAAUUCCUGAGGUCCACUUUGAAGUAUGUAUUCCCAGACACGUUUGGUCAUCUUACAGAGUUUAUUGGAAAGUCCAUCACCAAUUAAUCAACGAACUCUGUUAUUGUUUGAACAAAACAAGUGGUGCUCUGUUUCGAAUUAAAGCUAGAUUUGAAACAGAUUGUUAAAACAUAUACCCAAUAUGUUACCAGAUAUAUAAACUCGCUAGAUAAAGAUACAGUUAUAAAUGUAUUAUAUACUAUAUAUUUUGCAGGCACUUUCCAUUAUUGUUGCAAGAUGAAUAAGAUAUUUGUUAUCGGUUUAUAAUUCUUAUGUACAUAUGUUAUGAGUAUGUUAUUCACAAUAAAUAAUCUAUAGGAU